rnacentral:rRNA from 1 species
AGAACGAACGCUGGCGGCAUGCCUAAUACAUGCAAGUCGAACGAGAUCUUCGGGUCUAGUGGCGCACGGGUGCGUAACGCGUGGGAAUCUACCCUUGGGUUCGGAAUAACAGUUGGAAACGACUGCUAAUACCGGAUGAUGACGAAAGUCCAAAGAUUUAUCGCCCAAGGAUGAGCCCGCGUAGGAUUAGCUAGUUGGUGAGGUAAAGGCUCACCAAGGCUACGAUCCUUAGCUGGUCUGAGAGGAUGAUCAGCCACACUGGGACUGAGACACGGCCCAGACUCCUACGGGAGGCAGCAGUAGGGAAUAUUGGACAAUGGGGGCAACCCUGAUCCAGCAAUGCCGCGUGAGUGAUGAAGGCCUUAGGUGUAAAGCUCUUUUACCGAGAUGAUAAUGACAGUAGUCGGAGAAUAAGCUCCGGCUAACUCCGUGCCAGCAGCCG